rnacentral:rRNA from 1 species
GAGUUUGAUCGUGGCUCAGAUUGAACGCUGGCGGCAUGCCUUACACAUGCAAGUCGAACGGCAGCACGGGAGCUUGCUCCUGGUGGGCGAGUGGCGAACGGGUGAGUAAUGCAUCGGAACGUAUCCUGGAGUGGGGGAUAACGUAGCGAAAGUUACGCUAAUACCGCAUAUUCUGUGAGCAGGAAAGCGGGGGACCUUCGGGCCUCGCGCUCUUGGAGCGGCCGAUGUCGGAUUAGCUAGUUGGUGA